CUUCCCAUUUAUUUGCUGCUAUAGUCCUUCAGUGAUAUGAGCAGUUAUAUGCAUGGGAUAAAACAAUACUGCUAAGUCACUU
rnacentral:snoRNA from 1 species